rnacentral:rRNA from 1 species
UACGAAGGGGGCUAGCGUUGCUCGGAAUUACUGGGCGUAAAGGGUGCGUAGGCGGUUCGUUAAGUCUGUCGUGAAAUCCCCGGGCUCAACCUGGGAAUGGCGAUGGAUACUGGCGAGCUAGAGUGUGUCAGAGGAUGGUGGAAUUCCCGGUGUAGCGGUGAAAUGCGUAGAGAUCGGGAGGAACAUCAGUGGCGAAGGCGGCCUGCUGGGCUGUUGCUGACGCUGAGGCGCGACAGCGUGGGGAGCAAACAGG